AUACGUCCACCUUUCUCUCUCUAAAAACUCCAUUGCCGAAUUUACCAUUUAGCACCACUCUCCUCCUCCACCACCACCUACGCCAUCACCACCUCAUAAAAAAUGCUUACUCCUAGACAAAAACAACGAAAGGUGGUUGAUGCAUGAGACUCCUCAAUACAUAUCCCUUCCUCUCUCUCUCUUUUUUCUUUCCUUUGACUAUUCUUUUCUUUCACCACCUUCCUCUCCUAAAAUCCCAUAACCCCUUUUCUCUCUCUUAACAGAUUUUUCUGUUUCUUUCCUCGGUUUGUUCGCUUUCUCAACUACCAUCACCUCCUCCUUCAAGUUGCGACUGAUCUUGCCUCCUGUGAUCCAAGGAGCAAGGUGAUCAAUGCUAAAGGCCGGUGUCUAAGCCAUUGUGGACUGAGACGAAGAUUAUAAUCCACUAUGGUUAGCUUAAGAAGGCGUAAACUCUUGGGACUAUGUGCUGGAAGAAGUUCUUUCUUGACUCCACUUCCUCGAUUUUUUGACAAUGGAAUUGCUCCUUUAAGCUCUACCCAGAAUGCAAGGUCUGUAAGUGUACAUCCUCUGCCAGCAGAUGAUGUCAAGCAGCCUGGGGAGAAAACCGUUUCCAAAGUGGGAGCUGGUUCGUCAAAUGUGUCGGCUUCUAGCUCAUCAAAAGAGCAGCAAUCUCAACCUUAUCC
rnacentral:misc_RNA from 1 species